CAGCAGCCACGGGAAUACGUAGGUGGCAAGCGUUGUCCGGAAUUAUUGGGCGUAAAGGGCUCGCAGGCGGUUUCUUAAGUCUGAUGUGAAAGCCCCCGGCUCAACCGGGGAGGGUCAUUGGAAACUGGGAAACUUGAGUGCAGAAGAGGAGAGUGGAAUUCCACGUGUAGCGGUGAAAUGCGUAGGGAUGUGGAGAAACACCAGUGGCGAAGGCGACUCUCUGGUCUGUAACUGACGCUGGAGAGCGAAAGCGUGGGGAGCGAACUGGAUUAGAUACCCCCGUAGUCCCUGUCUCUUAUAC
rnacentral:rRNA from 1 species